CUACGGGUGGCAGCAGUGAGGAAUAUUGCACAAUGGGGGGAACCCUGAUGCAGCAACGCCGCGUGGAGGAUGACGCAUUUCGGUGUGUAAACUCCUUUUAUAUGUCAAGAAAAUGACGGUAGCAUAUGAAUAAGCACCGGCUAACUCCGUGCCAGCAGCCGCGGUAAUACGGAGGGUGCAAGCGUUACUCGGAAUCACUGGGCGUAAAGGACGCGUAGGCGGGUUGGAAAGUCAGGUGUGAAAUCCUACAGCUUAACUGUAGAACUGCACUUGAAACUUCUAAUAGAGAGUAUGGGAGGGGGAGAUGGAAUUAGUGGUGUAGGGGUAAAAUCCGUAGAUAUCACUAGGAAUACCUAAAGCGAAGGCGAUCUCCUGGAACAUUACUGACGCUAAGGCGUGAAAGCGUGGGGAGCAAACAGGAUUAGAUACCCCUGUAGUC
rnacentral:rRNA from 1 species